CCUACGGGUGGCAGCAGUGGGGGAUAUUGGUCAAUGGGGGAAACCCUGAACCAGCAACGCCGCGUGAGGGAAGACGGCCCUACGGGUUGUAAACUUCUUUUAUAAAGGAAUAAAGUGAGGCACGUGUGCCUUUUUGUCUGUACUUUAUGAAUAAGGAUCGGCUAACUCCGUGCCAGCAGCCGCGGUAAUACGGAGGAUCCGAGCGUUAUCCGGAUUUAUUGGGUUUAAAGGGAGCGUAGAUGGGUUGUUAAGUCAGUUGUGAAAGUUUGCGGCUCAACCGUAAAAUUGCAAUUGAUACUGGCAGUCUUGAGUACAGUUGAGGUAGGCGGAAUGCGUGGUGUAGCGGUGAAAUGCUUAGAUAUCACGAAGAACUCCGAUUGCGAAGGCAGCUUACUAAACUGACACUGACAUUGAUGCUCGAAAGUGUGGGUAUCAAACAGGAUUAGAUACCCCGGUAGUC
rnacentral:rRNA from 1 species